rnacentral:rRNA from 1 species
UGGGGAAUUUUGGACAAUGGGGGCAACCCUGAUCCAGCCAUUCCGCGUGAGUGAAGAAGGCCUUCGGGUUGUAAAGCUCUUUUGUCCGGAGCGAAACGGUCGCGGUGAAUAUCCGCGACCACUGACGGUACCGGAAGAAUAAGCACCGGCUAACUACGUGCCAGCAGCCGCGGUAAUACGUAGGGUGCGAGCGUUAAUCGGAAUUACUGGGCGUAAAGCGUGCGCAGGCGGUUUUGUAAGCCAGAUGUGAAAUCCCCGGGCUUAACCUGGGAAUGGCAUUUGGGACUGCAAGGCUUGAGUGCGGCAGAGGAGACUGGAAUUCCUGGUGUAGCAGUGAAAUGCGUAGAUAUCAGGAGGAAUACCGAUGGCGAAGGCAGGUCUCUGGGCUGACACUGACGCUCAUGCACGAAAGCGUGGGGAGCAAACAGGAUUAGAUACCCCGUAGUCC